ACCCCAGGUCAGGUGGGAUUACCCGCUGAGUUUAA
rnacentral:rRNA from 1 species